UGAGAAAAUAGAGGAAAGGAGUUUCCUUCUCGAAUUCCUGAUGGCAAAAUCCCGACAGCGAAAUGUGAAUUCAAUUAGGGAACAAAGAGCUGCGUCGCUUUUCUCAUCGAAGGCAAAAAUGAUCGUUCUUUUUUUUUUUUGUUGUGGGUAGAGAUGGUUAGCCCGUUCUGCAUCGAUGAGGUGGAAUCCCCAUGACGCUAGACGAGAAGUAGGACUUCCAAAGAAUACAGUUUGAAGGAUUACAUAUGAAAUUCCGGGUAUGCGUCAUUAGGAAGAAUUUGAAUCAUCUUGAGGAGAAAAAUCUGGUUCAUGACUCAGGAAGUUUCUCAUAUAAGAAUGACUCUGUGGUAUAAAGAGAGAAAAAAAAUGAUUUUAUUUUGACACCGUGACCUAAGCAUAUCCUCUUAAGGGACAAUAAGUAUUUACGUGCAACAACGUCAUUAAGAUGUGUUUUUCAACAACCGGAUAUGUGGCUUGCAUUCGAGAGGUAUGGUGGAAUUUCUCUUUAAUAACUUCCCGUCUGAUGUCAAAAGGUGCUUUGUGAACCAACAUGUACAACGAAAAGAGAGAAAGGAAUACGAGGCCUUUUUUUAGUCACACAAAGAAUGGCAGUUUAUCUUAAAUUCGAGUUUAAGUGCAGACCUGACGAAGCUAAAUUCAGACUACGCGACUUUGUCUGCCAGUAUAAGGAGAACGUGUGGCAACCCUUAAUGCCGAUGAAUCCUGCAACGCACAUUUAUAGAAUGUGAGAACUCACACAUAUUACGCCGAAUGCACAUAGGGACAAUUUGGCAUUAGAUAUAGGCUGACAGAUGCUUUCCCGAGGAUUAUGGAGACUAGGAGUCGGAUUAUUGAGUCGACUUUGCGAGCUCAGUCGUGCAUUAUAAAAAAGCAUGUCUCCCACACAAUUACUUAUAAAGACUUUGCACAAGCACAGGAAAAAAUUGCCCUUUACCUUGUGAAGGGAGAAAAUUCUCAAGUUGCUCGUUUUCUCUAAAUUUUACCUCUACGACUUUCUAGGGGUCAACCAUUUUUAUCGUCCAAAGGCAAUGUACUCCAAAAGUUUCUGUCUGGAAAAUAAG